CAGUAGCCACGGUAAUACGGAGGGAGCUAGCGUUGUUCGGAAUUACUGGGCGUAAAGCGCACGUAGGCGGCUUUGUAAGUCAGAGGUGAAAGCCUGGAGCUCAACUCCAGAACUGCCUUUGAGACUGCAUCGCUUGAAUCCAGGAGAGGUGAGUGGAAUUCCGAGUGUAGAGGUGAAGUUCGUAGAUAUUCGGAAGAACACCAGUGGCGAAGGCGGCUCACUGGACUGGUAUUGACGCUGAGGUGCGAAAGCGUGGGGAGCAAACAGGAUUAGAGACCCCUGUAGUCCCUGUCUCUUAUAC
rnacentral:rRNA from 1 species